AUGAAACAGAGUAUCAAAUUGGCGAAGGAAACGAUCUUACAGUCAAAGGAAUUAAACCUAAGAAGAAAACAGUUUCAGGCAAGAGGUUGAAAAGAGGCAUAGAACAAAUUUCUAGAAAAAAGAAAGGGGCAAGCAAAACUAACCAAACUCCAACAAUUGUUCAGGGUAUAGAAGAUCCCAAUAUAGAAGAUCAAUUUCCACCACUUUUGCCAACACAACUAUCUCAGGUGACUUCCUCAACUUCAAAAUUUCGGACUGCUAUCUCAG